rfam:Cricetulus griseus cell line CHO-K1, whole genome shotgun sequence.
GCCAUGGUGUUAUUUAACACCAUAUAACACUAUAAUGAUAUAGUAUU